GAAGGAAUAGUACAGACAAAUGAUAUAAUUUGUCAUCGUCAAUAUCAGAAUACUGGAUAGCAUAGGCUACUCGUGGUGGAGAGGCAUAUUAGAGCUCAGUGAGAGCCCAUAACAUUAUACAGCAGUGUUGUCUUGAUUUAAUUGGGAUUUGAGCAACUUUUCCACAAACAAAAUUCUGAUGCUGACACAGAGCAUGGAGUGAUAAUACCAGAGAUCAGCUGUCUCCAUCAGACAAUAAUGUUACUUUGUUCAGACAUAUCACCUUUGAAUGACUGGGAUCCUUAUCUUCAGACACCUGUUGUAUUUUAUUUUAAUAUUAUAAAAUAGCAAAUAUUUUAAUUUCUUUGGAGCUCUAGAUUAAAACAAACACAGUACACAAGAGGUUGCAGUUUAUUCUUAUUAGUCUCUGCUGAUCAUGGAUUAGCAUACCAACAGCAUAUGAAUGGAAUAGUUCGUCCAAAAAUAAAAUUCUCACUUAUUUUACUCACCCUCAUGCUGUCCCAGAUGCAUUUUACUUUCUUUCUACAGAUAAAUACGAAUUAAGAUUUUAAGGAAAGUAAUCCAUCUCUGCAAGCCCUAAAGAUGCUUUAAAAACCACACACAGUGACCGUGAUGUCCAUGUGACCUCAGUGGAUGAAUCAAUACUGAAGUGAAACAAUAGAAUAAAAAAAAA